GGAAUCUUGCGCAAUGGGCGAAAGCCUGACGCAGCAACGCCGCGUGGGGGAUGAAGGCCUUCGGGUUGUAAACCCCUUUCAGGAGGGAAGAAAUUUACGGUACCUCCAGCAGACGGACCGGCCAACUACGUGCCAGCAGCCGCGGUAAUACGUAGGGUCCAAGCGUUCUCCGGAAUCAUUGGGCGUAAAGAGCUCGUAGGCGGUUCAACAAGUCGGCUGUGAAAGUCCGAGGCUUAACCUCGGAAUUGCAGUCGAAACUGUUGUGACUCGAGUCCGGUAGAGGAGAAUGGAAUUCCCGGUGUAGCGGUGAAAUGCGCAGAUAUCGGGAGGAACACCAGUAGCGAAGGCGGUUCUCUGGGCCGGCACUGACGCUGAGGAGCGAAAGCGUGGGGAGCAAAC
rnacentral:rRNA from 1 species